GAAAUAAUUGGUGCAAGCUAUACUUUAUUGUAGUUUUAACAUGGGUAGGCAUUAUAUUCGUGUUAUUUUAGCCCUCACUAUCGCCCUGGCAAAAAUAAUUACGAAUAUAAUGCCUGCCCAUGUUAAAACUACAAUAAAGUGUAGCUUGUAUCAAUUAUUUC
rnacentral:sRNA from 1 species